rnacentral:rRNA from 1 species
UACGGGGGGGGUAAGCGUUGUUCGGACUUACUGGGCGUAAAGGGCUCGUAGGCGGCCAACUAAGUCAGACGUGAAAUCCCUCAGCUUAACUGGGGAACUGCGUCUGAUACUGGAUGGCUUGGAUUCGGGAGAGGAAUGCGGAAUUCCAGGUGUAGCGGUGAAAUGCGUAGAUAUCUGGAGGAACACCGGUGGCGAAGGCGGCAUUCUGGACCGACAUUGACGCUGAGGAGCGAAAGCCAGGGGAGCAAACGGG